AGGUGUUGGGGGGUUCCACCCUCAGUGCUGAAGUUAACACAUUAAGCACUCCGCCUGGGGAGUACGACCGCAAGGUUGAAACUCAAAGGAAUUGACGGGGGCCCGCACAAGCAGUGGAGCAUGUGGUUUAAUUCGAAGCAACGCGAAGAACCUUACCAGGUCUUGACAUCCUCUGACAAUCCUGGAGACAGGACGUUCCCCUUCGGGGGACAGAGUGACAGGUGGUGCAUGGUUGUCGUCAGCUCGUGUCGUGAGAUGUUGGGUUAAGUCCCGCAACGAGCGCAACCCUUGAUCUUAGUUGCCAGCAUUUAGUUGGGCACUCUAAGGUGACUGCCGGUGACAAACCGGAGGAAGGUGGGGAUGACGUCAAAUCAUCAUGCCCCUUAUGACCUGGGCUACACACGUGCUACAAUGGACGGUACAAAGGGCAGCAACACCGCGAGGUGAAGCGAAUCCCAUAAAGCCGUUCUCAGUUCGGAUUGCAGGCUGCAACUCGCCUGCAUGAAGCCGGAAUUGCUAGUAAUCGCGGAUCAGCAUGCCGCGGUGAAUACGUUCCCGGGCCUUGUACACACCGCCCGUCACACCACGAGAGUUUGUAACACCCGAAGUCGGUGGGGUAACCUUUAUGGAGCCAGCCGCCGAAGGUGGGACAAAUGAUUGGGGUGAAGUCGUAACCAAGGUAA
rnacentral:rRNA from 1 species